UAGCUCAGUUGGUAGAGCAUGGUGUUUGCAAUGCCAGGGUUGUGGGUUUGAUUCCCAC
rfam:Salmo salar isolate Sally breed double haploid chromosome ssa16, whole genome shotgun sequence.